AGAGUUUGAUCAUGGCUCAGAACGAACGCUGGCGGCGUGCUUAACACAUGCAAGUCGAGUGCGCGGUUGUAGCAAUACAACUGGCGCACGGCGCACGGGUGCGUAACACGUGGGCAAUCUGCCCUCCGAUGGGGAAUAACCCCGCGAAAGCGGGGCUAAUACCGCAUAACAUUCCGGGAACCUAGGUUCCUGGACUCAAAGGCAUAAGUCGUCGGAGGUGGAGCCCGCGCCCGAUUAGCUAGUUGGUGAGGUAACGGCUCACCAAGGCAAUGAUCGGUAGCUGGUCUGAGAGGAUGGCCAGCCACACUGGAACUGAGACACGGUCCAGACUCCUACGGGAGGCAGCAGUGGGGAAUCUUGCGCAAUGGGCGAAAGCCUGACGCAGCGACGCCGCGUGGGGGAUGAAGCAUCUCGGUGUGUAAACCCCUUUCGACUGGGACGAAUGCCUCGCAAGAGGAGUGACGGUACCAGUAGAAGAAGCCCCGGCUAACUACGUGCCAGCAGCCGCGGUAAGACGUAGGGGGCCAGCGUUGUUCGGAAUUACUGGGUGUAAAGGGUUCGUAGGCGGUGUAGCAAGUCGGGAGCGAAAUCUCUGGGCUUAACCCAGAGGCUGCUUCCGAAACUGCUGUGCUGGAGUGUGGGAGAGGCGCGUGGAAUUGCAGGUGUAGCGGUGAAAUGCGUAGAUAUCUGCAGGAACACCCGUGGCGAAGGCGGCGCGCUGGACCACUACUGACGCUGAGGAACGAAAGCUAGGGGAGCAAACAGGAUUAGAUACCCUAGUAGUCC
rnacentral:rRNA from 1 species